rnacentral:rRNA from 1 species
GAUGAACGCUGGCGGCGUGCCUAAUACAUGCAAGUCGAGCGAACAGACAAGGAGCUUGCUCCUCUGACGUUAGCGGCGGACGGGUGAGUAACACGUGGAUAACCUACCUAUAAGACUGGGAUAACUUCGGGAAACCGGAGCUAAUACCGGAUAAUAUAUUGAACCGCAUGGUUCAAUAGUGAAGGACGGUUUUGCUGUCACUUAUAGAUGGAUCCGCGCCGCAUUAGCUAGUUGGUAAGGUAACGGCUUACCAAGGCAACGAUGCGUAGCCGACCUGAGAGGGUGAUCGGCCACACUGGAACUGAGACACGGUCCAGACUCCUACGGGAGGCAGCAGUAGGGAAUCUUCCGCAAUGGGCGAAAGCUUGACGGAGCAACGCCGCGUGAGUGAUGAAGGUCUUCGGAUCGUAAAACUCUGUUAUUAGGGAAGAACAAAUGUGUAAGUAACUAUGCACGUCUUGACGGUACCUAAUCAGAAAGUCACGGCUAACUACGUG